UCAAUUAUCUAGACUUGUCUUCUAACAGUCUUACUGGGAUUAUUCCAUCACAAAUAGGAGCUCUUCAAAAUCUCAAUUAUCUAGACUUGUCUUCUAACAGUCUUACUGGGAUUAUUCCAUCACAAAUAGGAGCUCUUCAAAAUCUCAAUUAUCUGGACUUGU